rnacentral:piRNA from 1 species
GUUGGCUAGUCUUUUGCAGGUGGA